rnacentral:rRNA from 1 species
CCUACGGGUGGCAGCAGUGGGGAAUAUUGGACAAUGGGGGGAACCCUGAUCCAGCGACGCCGCGUGAGUGAAGACGUAUUUCGUUAUGUAAAGCUCUAUCAGCAGGGACGCAAGAAAUGACGGUACCUGACUAAGAAGCCCCUGCUAACUACGUGCCAGCAGCCGCGGUAAUACGUAGGGGGCAAGCGUUAUCCGGAAUUACUGGGUGUAAAGGGAGCGUAGACUGGGAUGCAAGUCUGAAGUGAAAGGCGGGGGACCAACCCCCGGACUGCUUGGGAAACUGUAUGGCUGGAGUGCAGGAGAGGUAAGUGGAAUUCCUAGUGUAGCGGUGAAAUGCGUAGAUAUUAGGAGGAACACCAGGGGCGAAGGCGGCUUACUGGACUGUAACUGACGUUGAGGCUCGAAAGCGUGGGGAGCAAACAGGAUUAGAUACCCGGGUAGUC